rnacentral:rRNA from 1 species
UACGGAGGGUGCGAGCGUUGUCCGGAAUCACUGGGCGUAAAGGGCGCGUAGGCGGCCUGAUAAGUAGGGGGUGAAAUCCUGCGGCUUAACCGCAGGGCUGCCUUCUAAACUGUCAGGCUAGAGCACAGUAGAGGCAGGUGGAAUUCCCGGUGUAGCGGUGGAAUGCGUAGAUAUCGGGAGGAACACCAGUGGCGAAGGCGGUUGCCUGGAGCUUUGCUGACGCUGAUGCGCGAAAGCGUGGGGAGCGAUCCGG